GUGGGGAAUGUUGCACAAUGGGCGAAAGCCUGAUGCAGCGACGCCGCGUGAGUGAUGAAGGUCUUCGGAUUGUAAAGCUCUGUCUUUUGGGACGAUAAUGACGGUACCAAAGGAGGAAGCCACGGCUAACUACGUGCCAGCAGCCGCGGUAAUACGUAGGUGGCGAGCGUUGUCCGGAUUUACUGGGCGUAAAGGGUGCGUAGGCGGAUGUUUAAGUGAGAUGUGAAAUACCCGGGCUUAACUUGGGUGCUGCAUUUCAAACUGGAUAUCUAGAGUGCAGGAGAGGAGAAUGGAAUUCCUAGUGUAGCGGUGAAAUGCGUAGAGAUUAGGAAGAGCACCAGUGGCGAAGGCGAUUCUCUGGACUGUAACUGACGCUGAGGCACGAAAGCGUGGGUAGCAAACAGGAUUAGAUACCCUGGUAGUCCACGCCGUAAACGAUGAGUACUAGGUGUAGGAGGUAUCGACCCCUUCUGUGCCGCAGUAAACACAUUAAGUACUCCGCCUGGGAAG
rnacentral:rRNA from 1 species